GGAAGAGGAGAAAGGAGCAAGUGACUGUGGUGCUCAACCGCCUGCCAGGUUAAACUACAACAUCAUGGAACCCAAAAAUCAACUUAAGCUAACCUGUCUGUGAAAGCAGGGAGCCACAGGUAUAAAGCAGAUCAUCCUACCAGUCCCACCUCCACUUCAAAACAUGAUUUCAUCUGCCCUUAAGAUCACCAAGAUUCCAGACACUCAAACUGAGAAACAAAGUGCAGUAACUAAAUCCUAAUGACUCACAGAGUUAUUACAGAGGACUGAAUCUAAAUACUGUCAACUCCUCAAAUGUAUGAAAAGUUACCCACAAAACUAUAUGACUGACGAACUAAGUAAAAACCAAGAGCAGUGAGGAAGUUCUGAUACGUGACAUCUUAUUUCUUCUGGCUCACUGAAGGAAAUUCUGGACAAACAACCUGUAUACAAGCAUCCUGUUGCUCAUGGGUAUAUAGAUAGAAAAGUGUGUUA
rnacentral:lncRNA from 1 species